UCCGGUUGUACCUGCCGGACCCGACCGCUUACGGGGUGGGGCUAAGCCUGGGAGUCGUACGCCCCGGUAACCGGGGGCGUGGCGGACGGCUGAGUAACACGUGGCUAACCUACCCUCGGGACGGGGAUAGUCCCGGGAAACUGGGGCUAAUCCCCGUAAGGUGGAGCGGCCUGGAAGGGCUCCUCCACCGAAAGGGUGUCCGCGGGGAUGUCCGCGACGCCGCCCGAGGAUGGGGCCACGGCCCAUCAGGUAGUUGGCGGGGUAACGGCCCGCCAAGCCUAUAACGGGUAGGGGCCGUGAGAGCGGGAGCCCCCAGAUGGGCCCUGAGACAAGGGCCCAGGCCCUACGGGGCGCACCAGGCGCGAAAACUCCGCAAUGCGGGCAACCGUGACGGGGCCACCCCGAGUGCCCCGAAGAGGGGCUUUUCCCCGCUGUAGGAAGGCGGGGGAAUAAGCGGGGGGCAAGUCUGGUGUCAGCCGCCGCGGUAAUACCAGCCCCGCGAGUGGUCGGGACGAUUAAUUGGGCCUAAAGCGCCCGUAGCCGGCCCGGUAAGUCCUCCCUUAAAGCCCCGGGCACAACCCGGGGACGGGGAGGGAUACUGCCGGGCUAGGGGGCGGGAGAGGCCGAGGGUACUCCCGGGGUAGGGGCGAAAUCCGUUAAUCCCGGGAGGACCACCAGUGGCGAAGGCGCUCGGCUGGAACGCGCCCGACGGUGAGGGGCGAAAGCCGGGGGAGCGAACCGGAUUAGAUACCCGGGUAGUCCCGGCUGUAAACGAUGCGGGCUAGGUGUUGGGCGGGUCCUAGAGCCCGCCCAGUGCCGCAGGGAAGCCGUUAAGCCCGCCGCCUGGGGAGUACGGCCGCAAGGCUGAAACUUAAAGGAAUUGGCGGGGG
rnacentral:rRNA from 1 species